rnacentral:misc_RNA from 1 species
GAUGAAGAACGCAGCGAAAUGCGAUAAGUAAUGUGAAUUGCAGAAUUCAGUGAAUCAUCGAAUCUUUGAACGCACCUUGCGCCCCUUGGUUAUUCCAAAGGGCAUGCCUGUUUGAGUAUCAUGAACACCUCAACUCUUGUGGUUUCCCACAAUGAGCUUGGACUGUGGAGGUUUUGUUGGCCCUGUGGUCAGCUCCUCUCAAAUGGAUCAGCUUACCGGUGUUUGGUGGCAUUACGGGUGUGAUAACUAUCUACGCUCGUCGUCGUCUCCAAAUAACCUCCAGUGAUGGAGGUUCGCUGGAGCUUAUAAAUGUCUCUCCCCAGUGAAGACAGCCUUUGAACGUUCGAUCUCAAAUCAGGUAGGACUACCCGCUGAACUUAAGCAUAUCAAUAAGCGGAGGA